AGGUAAGCUACUAAGAGCGAAUGGUGGAUGCCUUGACUGGUAAAGGCGAUGAAGGACGUACUAGACUGCGAUAAGCUACGGGGAGCUGUCAAGAAGCUUUGAUCCGUAGAUUUCCGAAUGGGGCAACCCAAUGUAUAGAGAUAUACAUUACCUAUAUAGGAGCGAACGAGGGGAAUUGAAACAUCUUAGUACCCUCAGGAAAAGAAAUCAAUAGAGAUUGCGUCAGUAGCGGCGAGCGAAAGCGCAAGAGGGCAAACCCAGUGCUUGCACUGGGGGUUGUAGGACUGCAAUGUGCAAGAGGUAAGUUUAGCAGAACAUUCUGGAAAGUAUAACCAUAGAGGGUGAUAGUCCCGUAUGCGAAAAACAAACCUUAGCUAGCAGUAUCCUGAGUAGGGCGGGACACGAGGAAUCCUGUCUGAAUCCGGGUCGACCACGAUCCAACCCUAAAUACUAAUACCAGAUCGAUAGUGCACAAGUACCGUGAGGGAAAGGUGAAAAGAACUGAGGUGAUCAGAGUGAAAUAGAACCUGAAACCAUUUGCUUACAAUCAUUCAGAGCCCUAUGUAGCAAUACAGGGUGAUGGACUGCCUUUUGCAUAAUGAGCCUGCGAGUUGUGGUGUCUGGCAAGGUUAAGCAAACGCGAAGCCGUAGCGAAAGCGAGUCUGAAUAGGGCGCUUAGUCAGAUGCUGCAGACCCGAAACGAAGUGAUCUAUCCAUGAGCAAGUUGAAGCUAGUGUAAGAACUAGUGGAGGACUGAACCCAUAGGCGUUGAAAAGCCCCGGGAUGACUUGUGGAUAGGGGUGAAAGGCCAAUCAAACUUCGUGAUAGCUGGUUCUCUCCGAAAUAUAUUUAGGUAUAGCGUUGUGUCGUAAUAUAAGGGGGUAGAGCACUGAAUGGGCUAGGGCAUACACCAAUGUACCAAACCCUAUCAAACUCCGAAUACCUUAUAUGUAAUCACAGCAGUCAGGCGGCGAGUGAUAAAAUCCGUCGUCAAGAGGGAAACAACCCAGACUACCAGCUAAGGUCCCUAAAUCUUACUUAAGUGGAAAACGAUGUGAAGUUACUUAAACAACCAGGAGGUUGGCUUAGAAGCAGCCAUCCUUUAAAGAAAGCGUAAUAGCUCACUGGUCUAGUGAUUUUGCGCGGAAAAUAUAACGGGGCUAAAGUAAGUACCGAAGCUGUAGACUUAGUUUACUAAGUGGUAGGAGAGCGUUCUAUUUGCGUCGAAGGUAUACCGGUAAGGAGUGCUGGAGCGAAUAGAAGUGAGCAUGCAGGCAUGAGUAGCGAUAAUUAAUGUGAGAAUCAUUAACGCCGUAAACCCAAGGUUUCCUACGCGAUGCUCGUCAUCGUAGGGUUA
rnacentral:rRNA from 1 species